ensembl:lncRNA FRMD3-AS1 FRMD3 antisense RNA 1
GGGCGACGCCGGAGUUGCAGUUGGAGGCUGCGGGAAUACAAAGUGACACUGACUGCCGGGUAACUGUCUCUCAGGACAUUUGUGCUUUGAGUCUCUGCAACUCUGGACCAUCUCUGCAGGCUAAAAGAUGUGCCUGUUGCUAAGAGGAGGAGCCCUGCAGCAGGAAUCCGGUGCCAGCUGACCUGGAACAACCUGAUCUCCAGAAAGCAUCCCUGUUAUACUCAAAUGGGCCUUCCAGAUGAGCCCUACGGAGUCCCGCUCUUUCGCCCAGGUUGGAGUGCAGUGGCGCGAUCUCGGCUCACUGCAAGCUCUGCCUCCCGGGUUCACGCCAUUCUCCUGCCUCAGCCUCCGGAGUAGCUGGGACUACAGGCGCCCGCCACAGCGCCCGGCUAAUUUUUUGUAUUUUUAGUAGAGACGGGGUUUCACCGUGUUAGCCAGGAUGAUCUCGAUCUCCUGACCUCGUGAUCUGCCCGCCUCGGCCUCCCAAAGUGCUGGAAUUACAGGUGUGAGCCACCGCGCCCAGCCUAGUAGCUGCACAAUUUUACAUUUUUACCAGGAAUAUAUGAGGGUUUCAAUUUAUCCACAUCCUCAGCAACACUUCGUGGCCUGUCUUUUUAUUAUAGCCAUUCUUGUGGGUGUAAAGUAGAAUCUCAAUGUGGCACUGAUUUGCAUUUCUUUAAUGACUAAUGAUAUUGGACAUCUUUUCGUGUGCUUACUAUCCAUUUGCAUAUUUCCUUUACCAAAAUGUCUAUUGUGAUAACAUUUCCUACUUUAAAAAUUGGUUAUGUUUUUUAUUACUGAGUUGUAAGUAUUCUUUAUGUAUUAUGGGUACAAAUUCAUUAUCGGAUGUAUGAUUUAAAAAUAUUUUCAUCCCUUCAGUGUUUUGUCUUUUCACUUUUCUUGACAGUGUCUUUUAAAGCACAAAAGUUUUUAAAUUUAUCUAUUACUAUCUAAUUUACCUAUUUUUUAUUUUGUCUCUAGUGCUUUUGCUGUCCUUAGAAACCAUCCUCUCUAAUCAAAGGUUACAAAGAUCUGAUCUUAUGUUUCUUCUAAAAGUUUUGUAAAUUUUAUUAAACACAAGGUCUCUG